GAAAAAACAAAGUCAUGUAAGUUUGGAACAACAUGAGUCUGAGGGAUGAAUUGAAAUUACCAUCUUUGGUAAUCGACAUCACGCCACAGAUGCUCUGUGUCCUGGAGGUUGAGGGUAGAGGGCAUGAGAGAUUUAUACAAUGUGACGCUUCUCCUGCAGGGUUCCCGCGGCGUCUUAAAAAGCCUUAAAAGUAUUGAAUUUAUUAAUUUGGAAAUAAUACCUUAAAAAGACUUUAAAAAGUCUUGAAUUUUGAUGUCUGGGUCUUAAAAAUUGUGCUGUAUGUAACUUCUCCGUAUUGUAAUUUUCCUCAAAAGUUUCAUUUGUCAACCACGAUUAUUUUGAUUAAAUGACGUAGUAUAAAUAAAGAGUGGCGGAACCAAUAAUUAAGAACGCAACGCAGCCCCGGGUCACAGUACAAAAUACUGCGAACACGUGAUGCCUUCAGUAAAUGAAGAUCACGCGCUGCAGCACCACAACCAUAGACUGCAAAGCAAAACAACACAACACAGACCUCAAGCAACAAGCAAAGGAGAAGCGCGAAAAAUCAAAGAAAAUCUCAGCAUUCCACAGGAAAGGUUGACUGACGCCGUUAUAUUUUUAACGUUUGUUGUUACGUUAGCUAGCUACCAAUUUCAUUCUGAGGUUAUGGGG
ensembl:lncRNA